AUAGAGCGCAUGUGCCGGCAUAGUUCCGGCAGACGAGGAAGAGGUUCAUCGAACUGUCAGCGGAUGCCUCUCGGUAAGCUGCAAACCGUAAGUGCUUUUACAAAAUUUCCCGGUAACGGGGAAAACAGAAGAAA
rnacentral:ncRNA from 1 species